rnacentral:rRNA from 1 species
CAGCCGCCGCGGGAAUACGUAGGUGGCAAGCGUUGUCCGGAAUUAUUGGGCGUAAAGGGCUCGCAGGCGGUUUCUUAAGUCUGAUGUGAAAGCCCCCGGCUCAACCGGGGAGGGUCAUUGGAAACCGGGAAACUUGAGUGCAGAAGAGGAGAGUGGAAUUCCACGUGUAGCGGUGAAAUGCGUAGAGAUGUGGAGGAACACCAGUGGCGAAGGCGACUCUCUGGUCUGUAACUGACGCUGAGGAGCGAAAGCGUGGGGAGCGAACAGGAUUAGAUACCCCGGUAGUCCCUGUCUCUUAUAA